UGGGUGUGUGUACAGUGGCGGACGGGUGAGUAACACGUGGGAACCUGCCCUGGAGCGGGGAAUAACCUCGGGAAACUGAGGCUAAUACCGCAUACGACCUCCGGGUGAAAGGCUUCNGCCACUCUUGGAUGGUCCCGCGUCUGAUUANCUUGUUGGUGUGGUAACGGCUCACCAAGGCGACGAUCAGUANCUGGUCUGAGAGGAUGAUCANCCACACUGGGACUUAGACACGGCCCAGACUCCUACGGGAGGCAGCAGUGGGGAAUAUUGGACAAUGGGGGAAACCCUGAUCCAGCAAUGCCGCGUGAGUGAANAANGCCCUAGGGUUGUAAAACUCUUUCANUCNUGACGAUGAUGACGGUAGCGACAGAAGAAGCUCCGGCUAACUCCGUGCCAGCAGCCGCGGUAAUACAGAAGGGGCUAGCGUUGUUCGGAAUUACUGGGCGUAAA
rnacentral:rRNA from 2 species